UAUAUAUGCAUAUAUAUAUAUGUAUGUGUGUGUAUGUAUGUGUGUCUGGGGCCAACAGGUUUUUGGGACUUGAUGAUAUGCCAUAAAACUAAACCCUUUAUGGACGGGUAACCUAAGAUAAUCUCAUAAACCGGUCUUCCUCAUUUUUAAUAUAUGUAUAUAUAUAUAU